CGGGCGGACGGGUGAGUAACGCGUGGGUAACCUGCCUCAUACAGGGGGAUAACAGUUAGAAAUGACUGCUAAUACCGCAUAAGACCACAGCACCGCAUGGUGCGGGGGUAAAAACUCCGGUGGUAUGAGAUGGACCCGCGUCUGAUUAGCUAGUUGGUAAGGUAACGGCUUACCAAGGCGACGAUCAGUAGCCGACCUGAGAGGGUGACCGGCCACAUUGGGACUGAGACACGGCCCAA
rnacentral:rRNA from 1 species